rnacentral:rRNA from 1 species
AUUGAACGCUGGCGGCAUGCCUUACACAUGCAAGUCGAACGGCAGCGCGGGAGCAAUCCUGGCGGCGAGUGGCGAACGGGUGAGUAAUAUAUCGGAACGUGCCCUGUAGCGGGGGAUAACCUAUCGAAAGAUGGACUAAUACCACAUACGCUCUACGGAGGAAAGCGGGGGUCGCAAGACCUCGCACUAUAGGAGCGGCCGAUAUCGGAUUAGCUAGUUGGCGGGGUAAAAGCCCACCAAGGCGACGAUCCGUAGCUGGUCUGAGAGGAUGAUCAGCCACACUGGAACUGAGACACGGUCCAGACUCCUACGGGAGGCAGCAGUGGGGAAUUUUGGACAAUGGGCGCAAGCCUGAUCCAGCCAUGCCGCGUGAGUGAAGAAGGCCUUCGGGUUGUAAAGCUCUUUCGGCAGGAACGAAAUGGUUCGUGCUAAUACCACGGACUGAUGACGGUACCUGAAGAAGAAGCACCGGCUAAC